CAACGAUAUUUAAAAGAUUUUUGUGAACAAGAACUAGUAACAUUAUUACUAUUAGAACUUUUGGAAAACAGACAGCUAGGGAUUGACUGCUUGGCAGCAGAAAGUAAAAUAUUACAAAAGGAAUUAAAAGCAUCUAUUGAAGAUAAAGUGUCAAAUUUAACAUCAUCCAAAUAAGAAACAACUAAGUUACUAUACAUAUUCCAAUUCACCUGCUUAUAAUUAGGGGAGAUGAUAACUACUGCCCAGAGGACUGUCAAUAACUGACCAGUCACAUAAAAGAGCCAAUGAUGGAGUUACCAAAGUCAAGUCAAGAGCAUUAGGACGCCAAGAUGGAGAUCCUAUUGUGGUAGCUUGACCAUUAUUCAGAAUAACAAGACCAUUCUCAUCUAUAACCUCUAAAACAUCUUUACCUCGAGGCAAUGUAUCAACACAUCCCCACAACAUGUGAUGAGCAUUGAAAUCACCUGCAAAUAUCAUUGGCUCUGGAAUGGACUUAAUUAAACCAUUUAAAUUGUUUUUAUUAAAUAGAGGAUUUGAAUUGGAAGGACUGUAAAAACUCACAAUACUCAGUUCUUUGUUAUUAAUUUUAAUUUUAAUGCAAACAUUUUGUAGAGCACUAUCAAAAUAUGUAUUUAUGUUAGAAAAUGUGAUAUUAUUAUGAAUAAAAAUUGCUACACCAUUGUGUUUAUUACCACAA